AUUCAAGCUCAAACCCUUUUAAAUGUAGCAGAUAAUAGCGGAUCUCAAAAAUUGAUGCGUAUUUGAGUCAUAGGAUCUGCUGGUAAUUAGUGAUAUGCUCGUAUUGGUGAUAUUAUUGUUGUUGCAAUCAAAUACGCAUUGCCCCGAAUUCCUCUAGAAAGAUCCAAAGUAAUUCGAACUAUAAUUGUAUGUACAUGUAAAGAGUUCAAAUGCGAAGACGGUAUAAUAAUCCGCUAUGAUGACAAUGAUGCGGUUAUAAUUGAUCAAAAAGUUAAUAAAGGAACUCGGGUUUUUGGCGCGAUUGCCAAGGAAUUGAGAGAAUUGAAUUUUACCAAAAUAGUUUCAUUAGCCCUUGAAGUAUUAUCAAGUAGCGAAAUUUAG
rnacentral:rRNA from 1 species